rnacentral:lncRNA from 13 species
ACAUACUGACACUGAAAAGAGCAGAAGAAAAACAAAAGUGUCCAAGAUGAUGGUGGUCUGUGUUGAAUCCAUUUUACACAACCUUCUGAGGAGUCCUAAAGCAGUCUCACAUGUAUGUCAAUGUCUCAAAGGGAUUUGGAAAACGAGAUAUUGAAGUUUUUGGUUAUAGCCAUCAACCCUCUCUAUGGGAUUCACAAAGAACCAUUGAUGAAGCUGGUAGGAGCAAGCAAUGUUCUUUCCUGCUUGAAGUAGUCUACUUGUGAGAAACCUCUGUAAUAAGAGGAAGAAGACUGAGAUUUCAUCCCAGGUCAUCCUACUCUUUAGACCUGUGAACUUGGGCAAGUUAUUUAACAAUUCUAACUACACUUCCAGGCUUCUUUUGUGUGUGUGUGUGUUUGGCAGGGGGAUAAAAUACAGAAUUAUUUUUAUCUGGCUAUCAUUUCAAGGAUAUUAGAUAGAAGAAUACUUGAUGGUCUCUAACUUGCAUGCUUGUAUAAUAAAAUGGGCAGAAUUUUAUUUUCUUAGCA